CUUAAAAAAAAAAAAAAAAAAGAAGUCUCUGCAGCUUUCAUCCUUUCUUCUGCCACCUCGUGAGCCCACUUUUAUCAAAUAACUAACAGCGCUGUGUGUCUGAGCACAACAAAGCAUCGCUCCUGCUAAAAGGCGCCUUUGAGAUGGAGACUGGGUGUCUGAAAGCACAUUUUCACCAACUGCAAAAGAUCCAUGUAAUAGAGAGCAACAUCAUCUGUGGGAGCGUUGAAUGUCAGCAGGGGCUUGGAGUGCACUGCCUCCAUGCGUCGAGAAUGUAAAUUACAUCAGAGCGGCCUGGUACAGGUACUAAAUCUGGGUUUGAAACGAAAAAAAAAACUGUUUAUCCAUGAGUAAAGCAUGCUAGAAUAAAAUAUGUUUACUAUUUGCGAACUAGGAAGUUGUGAGAUAAAAGAUCAAAUCUAAUAUCGCUGCGGUGCAUAUAAAACUUACUGAUAGGUGCACCAAAAUAGGAUUUGCAUCUAAUUAAAUGUUUCACAUGACCAAUUUAGCAAAUAUAAAGUGCGAAAUAAAGGGAGAGAUCCAUUGUUUUAAAAUUAUAGUGCUAAAUAUUUUUAUUUUAGCCUGACUAUUGAGCACAUCAAUUGGACAUCCUGGUUGGUCGGGCAGCUCUUUGGCGAGUGGCUGCUGGACAACUGUCAGAUGCUGAAAACUGUAGGCAGGAACUAUCUCCCCUGUAGCAGUCCGCCUUACGGCGACUCUGAAGAAGCCUCUGACUGAAGACUGGUCUUAUGAAGAGGAUUCUCAGGGUUGUUCUUCAUUGGAGCUGGAGAGCGUGUGAAUGGUACUUUUUUCUUUUUUUUUAAACCGCACCAUGGAUUCUCAAUUUGGUUGCAGCCUGAAUUUUAACUAGGCCAUUUUAACAGACUUUUUAAAAAAAAGUUAAAAAAAAACAAAAAAAGGUAGGAUACAAACAGUCGGAGGUUUUUUUAAGAUGCACAAAAUCUGACAUAAAUUUAAUGAGAGAUAUGACGAAAACUAUAACAUGAGUAAGAGAGAAAUAAAAACUAUUUAAAAAUUAGACUGUGCAAUAAUGUGAACAGGAGCAACUUCUGCCUCUAUCCAGGAACCUGGAUUUAUCUUCUUCCCAUCAAUUCUAAAGAGCCUCUCUGUCACAAAAGUCUCUAGUUUGGUUGCUUCCGAAACUCCACUUCUUGGAGUUUUAUUUUGAGCCACCAGAGUAAAAUAGGGCCUAAAUAUCAAAGCAUGUUAGCAUCAUCAAAUGUUGGUAAAUACAUUUUGAAAACCAGGCAUCCUUGUGAUGCUCUACUUUAUGUUUGUAAGUCACAUAAAACCCUGAUAAAACACAAUGAAGUUUGUAGCAUGAAACAAACUUUUGCUAGGCACUACAUAUUCAACAGCUCUGCCACAAAAUAAGAAAAAAAAAAAAAAACACGGUUAGAUGCGACUUUCUGACUGAACAGACUAGUAGAGUUGUCAGAGUUCUUCUAGGGUUAAAUCUGGCUCCCGCUGUUUGUUUUUGAAAACCCAAAACUACACAAAAAAAGAAGUAAUGACUUUAGAGGAACGAUACCGUUAACGUUUUCAUGACUGCAACUGGCAAACGUUUGUCAUAGUUACAGUUUGUUUCUUUCUCUUUUGUGUCCCUCUAAACUGAUUACGUUCAAUUUGUGCUUAAAAAAAAUAAAAUAUAACCUCCCCCACACCCCUGCCUUUUUUUUUUUUUUUUUUUUGCAGCCACAACAGAAAGAAAAACUGAAG